UACGUAGGAGGCAAGCGUUAUCCGGAUUUACUGGGUGUAAAGGGAGCGUAGGUGGUUCGGUAAGUCAGAUGUGAAAGCCCGGGGCUCAACCCCGGGACUGCAUUUGAAACUAUCGAACUAGAGUGUAGGAGAGGUAAGUGGAAUUCCUAGUGUAGCGGUGAAAUGCGUAGAUAUUAGGAGGAACACAAGUGGCGAAGGCGGCUUACUGGACUAUAACUGACACUGAGGCUCGAAAGCGUGGGGAGCAAACAGG
rnacentral:rRNA from 1 species